CUGAAACCCUCCGGGUGCUGCUUCAAGGAACGUAUGGAUACACCUCUGAGACCCCUUUCCAGACUCCAUUCUCUUCUGGGCCGUAUUUGUAAAUGCCACAGAUCUGCCAACUUUUAAGAUCUCUUUUCUCCUUUCCUCAUUGAGCUUUUGAAUAAUGUUGCUUUCGCCGAGCAUCAUUCCCUUCAUCCCCGCUUUUAAGCAUCCCUCAUCUGCUGCUGUUAAUCCCAAACCGUUUGUUGUUGGUAUGCUUUGGAAGUAUUUUGGCAAAACAUAAAUGUUUUUUCAUCCUUUUGAGAUAUCUCCAUUUUAACUAGAAGUGUUGGACUAUAGGAAGUGCAGGCCUUAGUUUGGAUUCUCUUUUGACAUGUGUAUCAUUUUAUUAUCAUAUUCCUAAACUGCUGCUGGGCAGAAAAAUGACUUUUACUCAAACUGUGUUUUCCAGCACCACCCUGCAUAGAUGGGUGUUUCUAUGUGAAUUGCAUGGUUUUGCUGCAACAUUUAUAUCAAAUCCAAAUUCAGAUGCUUUAGUUUUAAUGUUUAUUUCUGUUUUGUAGGAUUUCUCUUUUUUGUAAGUAGGACCUGUGCCCUGAAGGCUUUGCUACAUAAACUGCUAUCUGCAAAGGGCUAUUGCUUACCUGAUUCUACUUGAAGAAAAUUGCUGUGAAGUCUUUCUGAGAGCAGCAUCUCUCUGGCAUAGCAUCCCUUAAUCACUUACUGGCUGUAUUAUCAAUGCUCUGCUGGAUAUUCAUGGGGUAUUCUGAGCUGAGACAUGCUUGAUUAAAAACCAAAGCAAAACAGAUUCUGUUAUCCAGCUACCUAGCUGGAGAAGUGGGACUAUCUGAGAGGUAUUCCUGGAGCAGAAGGUUCUCUCCAUUCUAUGUCCUCUCUCAGUCACGAUUCUCCCACUGAGAGAUAGCAGGAAGAUUAUGUUGAAUGUGAAUCAAGGCUAGGUACCCUCUUACCUUUCCUGGCACAAAGGAUCUUGGGUGUGUCUUCUGUGGUUCUCACCAUGGCCAAGGCUUGUUGGAUGGUGCUGAUCAGAAAUUAAAAACACCAGUCCCAUAUGGACCCCUGAGGACCACUGGUCACUGAUGUCCAUCACGACUCUGAGCUGUUGACCCCAAUCCUCUGAAUAUCCCAGCUGGCAUUUGCUUCAUGUGGACAUAAGCAUGUGGACAAAACGCAGAAAGUUUUCCAAGUCCAUUUCAGAAUAUCAGAUGCCCUAAAAAGUUUGAAAGGACUUAUCAGUCAGCAGCUUUGGAAGAGCAUUUCAAACCCACCACCAAAUUAAUGGGUCAGCUAUAUAGGAAGAGUAAGGGAACAGAUGGCAGAAAUUUCCCAAGGGAGAAAAGAGAAUUACUAGAGAAGAUCAGGAUCAGACCUGCACAGGUGAUCAUGAAAUCGAAAUGCCUGGAAACUCAAUUUCUCAAGGUCGAUAUAACCCAUGCCUAGGAAACCAGUUUCUCUGAAUUCUGAAACAAUUGGGAAAACAUGAGAAAACUGGGAGGUGCUGGAGGACUGGCAAGAGUGUGCAAUGUCAGUGACGACCUAGAGAGAAUCCAAGUACACCAGAGUCUUGUCAGCUGGGUGUUUUCUAUGUAACUUGAGUUUCUGCAUCACACUCGCUGCUGGAGUAUCUGAGCACCUUCAGAAAAAACAGUCAAGUGUCUUUGCUCUCUCAGCUUCUCCUCCCAGGAGAGCCAGUGUUUCUUGGAGGGGCUUGUUUUUGUAGAAUCUUUUUAUUGUUAUUAGUGUGUAUAUUAUAGAAUAUUUGUUGCAACACGAUGAACUGAGAGAGGUGUCUUGUGCCUGAAGUGGAAAAUCGUAGGCUGGGGAGGAGACUGCAUUUCUCAGUAGCAGUUGCUCCUGGACUAGGCCUAGUUAGACUGGAAUUGCUGGAGAUUUAACAAAAUAAGGACAGGAAUUCCUCCUCCCUAGCAUAGCUGUUGAUGUUAUGUCCAGCUGAUUUGUGCCUGCUUUCUCUCUGCUUUGGUGAUAAAAGACCAUUUUCAAACAAUGACCACCAGACUCCAGCUGCACAGACCAAUGCAGUUUUGUGCCAGUCCCACUCUAACAACCAGAUUUUGUGAGAUGUCCUGUUCCUAAUGCCAGGGGAGCUAAAUACCUAACAUCUUUAAAACCUGUGUUAACUUUAUUCCAGUUUUGCCCAGUGUAUCCCUGGGCUUUUGCACCAUUUAGAUAAAUACUGUAGUAUGAAAAGAGGAAAUAUCCACGUGGAGGAGGCUGGAAAAGAAGAGCGCAGUGAAAGAGUGGUUUGAUUAUCCAUAGUCAGCACAAUUGCCUGUGAAAUACUGUGUCUGCCAAAGAGAAUUUGUUUUGUUUUGGCUUCUCUGAGGAAAUGGAAAGAAUUUUGAUGGAUGGAUAUUGGGAUUAAAAUUAAAUUUACAAAUCCUAUGGAAUAAGUGGAUAUUAUAAAUGUAACACAGGAUGAUCAAGCUUAUUCAGUGCUGAGGAGCGGGGUUCUAGUUUUAGGGAGCCUCUUCCAGACCAGCAUCCAGAGUGUUAUGUUCAGAACAGUUCCUUUUCCUCUCAUCUUAGUGGGUGUCUUGCUAAGGAAAGCAUGAGCUCCAGGAUUUAAGUCAGAA